UACGGGGGGAGCAAGCGUUGUUCGGAUUUACUGGGCGUAAAGGGCGCGUAGGCGGCGCCGCAAGUCGACUGUGAAAUCUCCGGGCUUAGCCCGGAAAGGUCAGCCGAUACUGCGGGGCUAGAGUGCAGAAGGGGCAACUGGAAUUCUCGGUGUAGCGGUGAAAUGCGUAGAUAUCGAGAGGAACACCUGCGGCGAAGGCGGGUUGCUGGGCUGAUACUGACGCUGAGGCGCGAAAGCCAGGGGAGCGAACGGGG
rnacentral:rRNA from 1 species